UAGAAGAGAUAAUGCUAAAAUUAGUAAUAAGAGAGCAGACGGCUCUCUCCCCGCGCAUGUGUAAGUCAGCCCGGACAAACCACUGACAAUUAACGGAUCCACUAUAGAGGAAAAAACAACAAGCAACAGAAAGCCAGAAGACCUUGUCAAACCACAACCGUUAAACCAACACAGGAGCGCCCAUAAAGGAAAGACUAAAAGAAGGGGAAGGAACUCGGCAAACACAAACCCCGCCUGUUUACCAAAAACAUCGCCUCUUGCAAACAAAAGAUGUAUUAGAGGUCCCGCCUGCCCUGUGACCAUAGUGUUUAACGGCCGCGGUAUCCUGACCGUGCGAAGGUAGCGUAAUCACUUGUCUUUUAAAUGAAGACCUGUAUGAAUGGCAUAACGAGGGUUUAACUGUCUCCCCCCUCCAGUCAAUGAAAUUGAUCUGUCCGUGCAGAAGCGGACAUAAAUACAUAAGACGAGAAGACCCUAUGGAGCUUUAGGCUAAAGAACAGGCACGUAUAAAAGCUCGAACCCAAAUCCAAAAGAUAAAAUAAAGAGGCCUAUAAACCAAGUGCAAAAUGAUCGACAAUGCCUUCGGUUGGGGCGACCACGGGGGAAAGAAAAACCCCCGCACGGAACGGAGAAACCUCCCAAACCAAGAAGUACAUUUCUAAGUAACAGAAUAUCUGACCAAAAAUGACCCAGGACAAAAACCUUAAACCUGAUCAAUGAACCAAGUUACCCUAGGGAUAACAGCGCAAUCCCCUCCCAGAGUCCAUAUCGACGAGGGGGUUUACGACCUCGAUGUUGGAUCAGGACAUCCUAAUGGUGCAGCCGCUAUUAAGGGUUCGUUUGUUCAACGAUUAAUAGUCCUACGUGAUCUGAGUUCAGACCGGAGUAAUCCAGGUCGGUUUCUAUCUAUGAACACUACUUCUUCCCAGUACGAAAGGACCGGAAAAAGAGGGCCUAUACUAAAAGCACGCCCUACCCCAACCUCCUGAAAAAAUAUAAAGAAG
rnacentral:rRNA from 1 species